rnacentral:rRNA from 1 species
UACGUAGGGGGCUAGCGUUGUCCGGAAUCAUUGGGCGUAAAGCGCGUGUAGGCGGCCCGGUAAGUCCGCUGUGAAAGUCCAGGGCUCAACCCUGGAAUGCCGGUGGAUACUGUCGGGCUCGAGUCCGGAAGAGGCGAGUGGAAUUCCUGGUGUAGCGGUGAAAUGCGCAGAUAUCAGGAGGAACACCGAUGGCGAAGGCAGCUCGCUGGGACGUGACUGACGCUGAGACGCGAAAGCGUGGGGAGCAAACAGG